rnacentral:misc_RNA from 1 species
CAGACAUUCUCUCUCUCGUCGACGACAUCUUUACACUUGUCACGCUCUUCUUGUCAUUUGUGCCAUUCACAUCGAGAAGGCUUUCUCACCUCACUGAACGCCCCUCUCGCUCCGUUUUGUCUCGGUAUCACGUGAUUCGGUACCCAUUUCGGCAUCGUCUACAUAUCCGGUGUUCUGACUUUUUUUUGUUUUUGCUCUCGCCUCUGUCACCGGCUUAUCUUUUCCCUUCCCAUUUGUACGCUCGCCCUUCGGUGGACGCGGCUGCACAUCCCUCCACUAGCACGAUACCCGCGUCGCUUCCUACAUUUUACUCGAUUUGUUUUUAUUUUCCUUUGACUGCCACGGCGCCUGUAGUGUCUCUGCCGUUUUCUGCCUUCUGUUCUUGUUCCAGGGGUCUGCAAGACUGGUGUUAUCCUCUCUUUCUCGCUGUUUUCCUCUUUGUUCCUUUAUCCGUAAAAACCUCCAACCUAGAGAGGUGCGCUCGCCGCCAUUCCCGGCCUUCCUGCGAACUUCCACCUCCGACGCUCCUGCCCAUUCUGUGCUUCCGCUGUCGGCAGCAUGGCCCCUACCAUUUGCGUCUGCGUCGAUGAUGACCUCUGCGGUGCGGUGUGUGAUGUUCUGAAGCAGCUCGAGGGCAGGAUCUCCGCAAUCGUGUGCGGCACCGAUGUCAGCUGCUUUGCUUCUGUGAAGGCAGACAACGAUGGCAUUUUCAUGGUUGUUUCGGGGAGCUGCGCCCACGCUGUCAUCAAGGAUCUUUGCGACGACUAUGACAAGGAGGAGCGUCGCGUGAAGCUCAUCUACAGCCUAUCUGCCGGCGUCGACGCGUACAAGCUCUCGGAGCUGAAGCAGGAGCUCUCCGGCAUCCUGUUCUGCAACGCACAGGGCUGCUGCUCCAACGUUCUUGCAGAGUACGUCGUAUUCAGCAUGCUGUACUUCAAUCGCCUCCCAUGGCGCUUGGCUGCCUCGAAGAAUGAGAAGAAGUGGGACCCCUUCAGCAGCAUUGAACUCCGGCGGCAGAAGCUCGUGAUCAUCGGCUACGGCAACAUCGGCGAAGCCUGCGGCGCGAAGGCGGUGGCGCUGGGCAUGCAGGUGACCGGCAUCCGUCGCAGCGGCGACAAGAAGACGGACAAGUUUGGUGUGAUGGUGCGCGGCAAUGACGCGCUGGACGAGUCGAUCCGUGAGGCCGACUUUGUCGUUUCUGUGCUGCCUGGCACGGAGCACACGAGGCGCUUCUUCGACAAGGCGUUCUUUGCAAAGAUGAAGCCGAGCGCCGUCUUCAUCAACAUUGGCCGUGGCAUGUCGGUGUGCGAAGCUGACAUCAUCGAGGCUCUCAAAAAAGGCACUAUUCGUGCUGCUGCUCUCGAUGUGUUUGAUGUGGAGCCGCUUCCAAAGGACUCCCCUCUGUGGGACUUGCCUGACAGCAAGCUGCUGUUGUCAGCACACUCCGCAAACUUGACGGAGGAUGUUAUCGAGCGCACCAUGAAAAUUUUCACGGAUAUCUUCGACGAGCUGAGCACUCAUGGGACGGUUUCUGCCCAUACGGUGUGCAUGGAUAAGGGCUACUAGGCGCAUCAUCGUGCGCUGCAGUGCUUGGGUUCCUGUGCAUAUGCUACUCGUGUGUGGCACGGUACGAACCCUGGCGCUUGCAAUGUACGUUCUCUUUAUUAAUUGCUUGUUGACAUAGUUCCGACACCACAUCUUCACUUUUUCAAGUGCUCUGCGCUUACCGAGGUCGAAUGUGGUGUCGCAGCGUGUGCAGAAGUUGAGUGGCACUUGAUUUCGACAAGCAAGCCUUGCUUUGUCUCUCUAGUUCAUUUUUCGCGUCUGUGCGUGCGUGUGUCUGUGUAGCAGAAGAACAGGAGGGCCGCGCUUCGUGAUUUGGGCAUCGCUCCUUCGUUUCUGCUUCAUUUUCUCCGUAAGGCGCUCGGCACUCAGCACAACAACGUAAGUCUAUAUCAUUGCUUCCAGUACCGGGAUCAGUGACAUGCAUUUCUUAAACAGGAAUGCAGGCCUGCAUACCAGGCUGCGCGGUGAUAUACUCCGUGGAAACAAAUAAGAUGCUAGGUGAAGUUCAACUGAGCCCACCGCUGGCCCCCCUCCUCUCCUGUUUUAUUUGCUUUGUUACGUAAACCACAAUGGGGAAACACUUUAUUUUAUUGGGUUUUGCAGCCUUCGAUGUACCAUCGAUAACGCCACGACAGCGUCGUGACAAGAGGUAUACCUCUCCAGCGCCUGCAAUAGUGCGACGUCUUCGCGCAGCAUCGACUCGCCCAUCCACAUUUUGCUUUUCUAGGCCGUGCUGAUCGGCAGAGACGCGUCGUCGCUUCCUAGCACGCUUGGCGCCGCGGGACACCUCCAGUCUCGCGAAGUCAGCGGACGCCAGCACUCUGCCCUUCUUAUGCGACUGCAGCAGCGCAGAGUCCAUCAUCAGUAGCCUUAGCCGCCAACACAAGAAAUAAUACGUUCAGCUUUUUUUCACCCACAUCCCGCCGCUUUCGCUGCACAAGUCAUCACGAUUGUCAGGCGGUGAUGUGAGCUUGUUUGUGUGCGUGCGCGGUUGCAUGGCUUGGCGUCUUCCAUCAAAUGCAGUUCGUGGCAAUGGCCGAAGUAUGG